UCUUAUCCAGAGAGACGGAGGGACUGGCCCGAUGAUGUCUCAGCAACCAGCUUACCAUGGCAAGGUGCUAAUUCCAGAAAGGGAAUCUCCCUUUAAAGAUAAGA
rnacentral:ncRNA from 1 species